GGGGACGUUUUGGAUUAGACAGGAUGUUCGGUGGAAAUAGAUGGCGAGUCCGAGCGCUGUUCUCGGUUAUCAACGAGCAAAACAAAUUAAAUGCUAAAAAUAAUGUAAUCGAAGCAGACUUCUCUAGAGCAUAUGCUUUAGCAGCGUAGUCCUUUGACGAAUAGCUACUCAUAGAAUCCAGCUUGCCGAUUUUAUGGGUCAAUUAUGCAAGCCGCAGUACAUUGAAGCAAUGUAGAUGUAUCAAGAUAACGUUGCAAGGUUUAGAGUUUCCUUCAAAUAAAACCUUGGAUUAGUUUGUCGGGUUUAGAUAUUUUCCUGAACUAAUCGAGAGAAUAAAUACCUACACUCGUAGAAAUUUAUUGACAUCCAUUUUGGACAGGGGUUCAACUCCCCUCGUCUCCA
rnacentral:tmRNA from 1 species